UUCGAGGGUACGCCAUUGGUUACGGCAUUGGCAGCCCUCAUGCCCAGACCAUCAAAGUGGACUACAAACAGCGCUAUUACACCAUCGAAAACUUGGAUCCAAGCUCUCAUUACGUGAUUACCUUGAAAGCAUUUAACAAUGUUGGUGAAGGCAUCCCUCUUUAUGAGAGUGCUGUGACCAGACCUCACACAGGUAGGGCAUCUGUCUGUCUUGGUCACCUGUACUUUUCCCAACUGCUUUUGUAGAGUAUGACUCAGGGGUCUCCCUGAUGGGUGUUCAUGAACAAAAAAAUCAUGGCAACUUGGAGUACAGACUUGGAAUGAAUGAAAGACUGACUUUC
rnacentral:lncRNA from 1 species